CCCUGAUUAGCUAAGUGGUAAAGAAGCUGCCUGCAGUGCAGUAGACCCUGGUUUGAUUCCUGGGUCAGGAA
rnacentral:tRNA from 1 species